UUUCCGUAGGUGAACCUGCGGAAGGAUCAUUAAAGUUAUAGUCGCCCGGACUUCUUGGCGGCGGUAUAUUAUCCACCCCUUUGCUUAUUACACCUUUGUUGCUUUGGCAUGACUCCCUUCGGGCUGCUGGCAUCGACCGGCUCUCAUUAGCCAGAGGAAACAGAUUACGAUUGAUCUUGUGGCUUGGGUACCAAUGAAUAGUUAAAACUUUCAACAGCGCACCCCUUGGUUCUGCCAUCGAUGAAAAACGCAGCAGAUCGGAUCAGCACACGUCAGAAA
rnacentral:misc_RNA from 1 species